rnacentral:lncRNA from 1 species
CUGGCAUGCUUCCAUUCUGUCUCUUAGGGUCCUGCCACCACCACAUAUGUUAGCCUGCUGGAGGACGACAGCCAGCCAACCUCCAGACAUAAACUUUUAAUGAAUUUAAGGGGAAAAUUAUACAUCUCAACAGAAAGCGCUUACCCUCUCUGAACCAUGUUCCUCCUGUGGUCACAAGAGGCUCAUUAGGCUGGCCUUAAAAACAGCAGUUGGGACAACGAGAAAGCUCCACAGAAAAUCAUGAUGAGCAGUGUUCAUUAUCUAUUCAUGAGCACCUUUCUUGCAUAUUUAGCAUUUGCAAAAUAUUGGAUGUCAUCAGCAUAUGGGAGUCCAGGAGAAAUCUCACCUUCUUGCAAAGACAAAAAUGGAAACGGCUGAGUCUUUCUACCCAGUUGAGGGAACCCAAUCUGAACAUGACGCCUAGUUGUUCUUUGACUCAGUUUAAAUGAUGUGAAGCUGAGCUGUACUCUCUGCAGCCCAAAUAUCUCUGGUUGAACAAAGAACAUUAGCACCUAAGGCCAACAACUCUCAAAGUUUCUGUACUGUGAAUGGUCCAACAGCUGAAAAAACUCAAGUUCAUCUCACCUCCAAUGUCUCUCUUGAAUCUAUUCCUUUCUGUCCAUCUACACAGUUAGAUACUAACCAUCAGCCAUGCCAUCUCUUGCCACCAUACAUCAUUUGUAAUAUAAUUAGUCUCACACUUAUCUCAGUUUCCCAUCUCACUCCUCUCUUAUCUAUUUUCCACAUUACAAACUGAGUGAUUGUUUUGCUUCCUACAACACAGUUCUUAUCAUCACCAUUGUCAUCAUUGAAAUUAUAUUAUCAUAAUUAUCAUAAGUCAGGUCUUAACUGUAAGCAAAAAAAUAAACUCUGGCUAAUUAAAGCAGAAAUAAUGAACUUAAUGGAUAUGGGCUGAUUUCCAUAAUUCCUAGGAAGUCCAGAGAACUAUUUCAGAAGCUACACAUCCAGGAAUCCCUUCUUUUCAGGGAUGCAUGGUGAAGGCACACAGCCUCCACCGCCACACAUUGCCUCUGCAGUUUGCUCUGUUAGCAUUUUGAGGUAGGGCUUCAGAUGUUACUGCUAGAACCACUGCCUCUGCUGACUCUAAGAAUCACAUGCAGCUGCCACCACUAGAACCAACCUCCCCAGAAAGAAGUCUGCAUGGUUGGUUCUUCAUUGCAUAAUGCGAUUCAGACAAAGUCUGAUGCAUCCAAUUAGUGAAUUCUUAGCUAAAUGUCUAUAACUUUGCUUCAUAGGAGAUGGCAUUGCCAACCUUUAAAAUGGACUCUGACUCAAAAGAUAGGAGACUCUCCAACAAAGGAAACAGUGGCCAGGAAGAAUAAUUGAUGUCUACUUUAAUACCAUUUAUUUAGCACCUACUAUAUCCCAAAGACUUCAUAUAUAUUAUCUCUACAAUAUUUCAGCAAAAUAGAUAUUUUUGUCCAUUUUAUACAAUCCUGAACUUUCAGGAUCAAGACAGAACACAAACAAAUGAUGAUGACUGAAACUGGAAAUGUGUUGGUUCAUGCAAUUGAAAUGUGAGUUGUAUGAGAGCAAGACUUAUUUCUCUCAUACAAAGAUAAAUUCUGAAUACCUUUAGUUGUGCCUGGUACAGAUCAGGAAUUCAAUAAAGCAUCCAGCCAGCAAGCUUGAUCCAGGGGCUCAAAAGAUGUCAUUACAAUUCUGC